rnacentral:tRNA from 1 species
AGGGAUAUAGUUAAACAUAACAUCUGGUUUGCACCCAAAAAGUAUUGAAUAUUCAAUUAUCCUUA